rnacentral:sRNA from 2 species
CAUGCAACAUCGCGGAUGGAGGCGGGGGACCCACCGGUCCACCCGGACCCGGAGUCGACGACGACUCCUUGGGGUGAAGCCGUUUUCCCUUCGGGGGUGACGGCCGGGCAGCCUCUCCAGCCCGAACCCGACAGCUGACUUCGCAGGCGUCCACACGAGAGGAACA